CAAACGGAAGAAACAGCACAGACGAUGACCCCAUGUGGCUCACCGGGGUCAUUUAAGUUUUUCCUGGAAGAUACUCUAAUGUCUUCCCCUGUUUUUGUAGAGACUUUAUUCCAGGUAUGAUAACUUGAUGCUCCAAUUGAAUGACAAAAGCUCCAUGUCAUUCUCUGGGCCAAUUUCAAAAUACUCUUCCUCCCAGCCAAUGUUGCAACACCUAAAAUUUUAAUAACAGGCAUUCGUCUGAAAAUUUUCUUUGCACACAAAAUAAAUGCCAUUUGUUAAAUUACAUAACACAAUGGACAAAAAUUUAAACAUACCAGUUGAAUCCUUGGUAGGAACAUUGGUUGCCAUGAAGAAAACGAGCCUUUCACACUGAUGUUGCAAUGUUGCCAUCCAAUGCCUUGCACCAAAUGCUAGUCCACUGCGAACAAUGGUACGGAACAACGUGUGAACAGUGUUUUUCUGGCACUCAAGGUGUUCCACC
rnacentral:lncRNA from 1 species